GAGGUUUCAAGAACAAAUAUACUGUCUCCCCCUCCCCCGAUAUUGUGAGCAUGGCACUUUCGGAUCACCCAAAGGGGGAAUUCAUAUCACCGAAAACGAAAAAGGAAUUCAGGGUGGAAGCCUACCCGAGUUUCAUUCCCUUCAUAGAUAGAAAAAAAUUAACUUCGCAUCCAUAUAUUUUUGCUCCUGUUUGCCACUUGGGGCAUUGGUGGUUAUGGCUGAUAAAUACAACAAAGCGGAAAUGUCAUAUACUUGACCCGCUACACAAAAAAGCUCCAAGCGA